rnacentral:misc_RNA from 1 species
CUUGUACACACCGCCCGUCAAGUCACGAAAGUUGGUAACACCCGAAGCCGGUGGCCUAACCCUUGUGGGGGGAGCCGUCGAAGGUGGGACUGGCGAUUGGGACUAAGUCGUAACAAGGUAGCCGUACCGGAAGGUGCGGCUGGAUCACCUCCUUUCUAACCAGCACGCUGACCGGCCGGGUGGCUGGUGGCCCCACAGACCACGAGAUCGUGGUGCGCCGUUGAGUCGGUGGUGGGUGUUUUGCUCAUGGGUGGAAUAUCAGCAAGCGGACACGGAUACUACGCACACGGGAACACUGCUGGCUUGGAUGGUUGGUGGUGGUGUGUGUGGGGGUUCNUGGUGGCACAUUGUUGGGUUGUCGAUCAACAAGUUACGUUGGUUGGUUUCCUGGGGCACUGACGCAUCCCAUUGUGGUGGGUGUGUGGUGUUGGUGGGUUGUUGUUUGUCAACUACAUAGUGGACGCGAGCAUCUUUGACGCCGCGUGCAUCUGGUCACACGUUGAUCACGGUCGAGGGGUUUUCGGAUUCCUGGUUGUGGUGGUGUGGUGGGUGUG